CCCUUAGAUGUUCUGGGCCGCACGCGCGCUACACUGAUGAAUUCAACGAGCACUAACCUGUGCCGAAAGGUUCGGGUAAUCUUUUGAAAUUUCAUCGUGAUGGGGAUUGAUUAUUGCAAUUUUUAAUCAUAAACGAGGAAUGCCUAGUAAGCGUGAGUCAUCAGCUCACGUUGAUUACGUCCCUGCUCUUUGUACACACCGCCCGUCGCUCCUACCGAUUGAAUGUGCCAGUGAAAAGUUAGGAUUGGGCGUGGGAGACGGCAACGUAUUCCACAUCCGAGAAAAUCUUUAAACUUUCCCAUUUAGAGGAAGGAGAAGUCGUAACA
rnacentral:rRNA from 1 species